GCCAGGUGCAGUGGUGCAUGCCUGUAGUGCCAGCUACUCAGGAGGCUGAGGCUGGAGGAUCGCUUGAAUCCAGGAGUUCUGGGCUGUAGUGCACUAUGCCGAUGGUGUGUCCACACUAAGUUCAGCAUCAAUAUGGUGAUCUCCCAGGAGCGGGGUACCACCAGGUUGCCUAAGGAGGGGUGAACCGGCCCUGGUUGGAAAUGGAGCAGGUCAAAACUCCUAUGCUGAUCAGUAGUGGGAUUGCGCCUGUGAAUAGCCACUGCACUCCAGCCUGGGCAACAUAGUGAUACCCUGUCUCU
rnacentral:SRP_RNA from 1 species